AUUGAACGCUGGCGGCAGGCCUAACACAUGCAAGUCGAACGGACCCUUCGGGGUUAGUGGCGGACGGGUGAGUAACACGUGGGAACGUGCCUUUAGGUUCGGAAUAGCUCCUGGAAACGGGUGGUAACGCCAAAUGUGCCCUUCGGGGGAAAGAUUUAUCGCCUUUAGAGCGGCCCGCGUCUGAUUAGCUAGUUGGUGAGGUAAUGGCUCACCAAGGCGACGAUCAGUAGCUGGUCUGAGAGGAUGACCAGCCACACUGGGACUGAGACACGGCCCAGACUCCUACGGGAGGCAGCAGUGGGGAAUCUUGCGCAAUGGGCGAAAGCCUGACGCAGCCAUGCCGCGUGAAUGAUGAAGGUCUUAGGAUUGUAAAAUUCUUUCACCGGGGACGAUAAUGACGGUACCCGGAGAAGAAGCCCCGGCUAACUUCGUGCCAGCCGCCGCGGUAA
rnacentral:rRNA from 1 species